rnacentral:rRNA from 1 species
GAUGAACGCUGGCGGCGUGCCUAAUACAUGCAAGUCGAGCGAACGGACGAGAAGCUUGCUUCUCUGAUGUUAGCGGCGGACGGGUGAGUAACACGUGGAUAACCUACCUAUAAGACUGGGAUAACUUCGGGAAACCGGAGCUAAUACCGGAUAAUAUUUUGAACCGCAUGGUUCAAAAGUGAAAGACGGUCUUGCUGUCACUUAUAGAUGGAUCCGCGCUGCAUUAGCUAGUUGGUAAGGUAACGGCUUACCAAGGCAACUAUGCAUAGCCGACCUGAGAGGGUGAUCGGCCACACUGUAACUGAGACACGGUCCAGACUCCUACGGGAGGCAGCAGUAGGGAAUCUUCCGCAAUGGGCGAAAGCCUGACGGAGCAACGCCGCGUGAGUGAUGAAGGUCUUCGGAUCGUAAAACUCUGUUAUUAGGGAAGAACAUAUGUGUAAGUAACUGUGCACAUCUUGACGGUACCUAAUCAGAAAGCCACGGCUAACUACGUG